AGUUUCUUUAACUUUGAAGUGGUGAAGAUGAGCUUAAGAGAAUUUAUUGAUGGCUACCACUUGAAGUGCUUUUUGGAAGAAAAGGUUGGAGGAGAAGAGAUG